GUAAGAAUAUUGUUGGUGUUCUUAACUCAAGAGAAAUGUUUUCAAUUUUUUAUUCAUUAAAUUUUGAAAACCCGGCUAAGUGAAUCAUAGAAUAUUAAGCACUACACCAUGACUUAAGAUUAGAAUUCAAGAAGACCUAUUGAGAAUAGAUUUCUUGUAGGCUUUGUGAUGACCAGGAGGAUUAGCGCUACUUUUCCAAGACAGGUUUAUAUGUGUAUGAUCUUCAGGCUUUGCCGAUCCAGGUUGGCUGGCCGGUGCUGACGGGACGGAGCUGAGGCUAGCGAUAAAUUCCUAUGUUAGACUUCCGCUGUAGCAAUUACUCAUAUCAGUCUUUUGUUUUCUCAACUUAAGAUCUUCAUGUUAAAUUUCAAAUGAUAUACCUGACCGAGCUUAGACUCUUCACUACUAAAUUUAUGCUAAUGAAUGUCGGUUAUCAGAAGCAUGAAACAAAACUUGUGAUCCAAAGGGGCAUAGCCCGACUCUCUAUCUUAUUAUUCGGGUUUUAACAAGGUUGUUCCUUGUUUAUUUCUA